AGCGAACGCUGGCGGCAGGCCUAACACACGCAAGUCGAGGGGCCGUAGCAGUACGGCACCGGCAGACGGGAGAGUAACACGUGGGAACGUGCCCUUCCGUUCGGAACAACCCAGGGAAACUUGGGCUAAUACCGGAUACGCCCUUACGGGGAAAGAUUUAUCGCUGAAGGAGCGGCCCGCGUCUGAUUAGCUUGUUGGUGAGGUAACGGCUCACCAAGGCGACGAUCAGUAGCUGGUCUGAGAGGAUGAUCAGCCUCACUGGGACUGAGACACGGCCCAGACUCCUACGGGAGGCAGCAGUGGGGAAUAUUGGACAAUGGGCGCAAGCCUGAUCCAGCCAUGCCGCGUGGAUGAUGAAGGCCCUAGGGUUGUAAAGUCCUUUCGACGGGGAAGAUAAUGACGGUACCCGUAGAAGAAGCCCCGGCUAACUUCGUGCCAGCCGCCGCGGUAAGAC
rnacentral:rRNA from 1 species